GCCAGGCGUGGUGGCUCACGUCUGUAAUCCAAGCACACUGGGAGGCUGAGGUGGGUGGAUCACCUGAGGUCAGGAGUUCAAGACCAGCCUGGCCAACAUGGUGAAACCCCGUCUCUA
rnacentral:SRP_RNA from 1 species